GGUUUUUUGUGUGGGGUAGCGUAUACCCUUCUUACAGGUAUUUACUAUGGACAAUGCAUGCGGGUGACCUCCACUGCACGUGACACGUGUAAAACAGAGAGGUGUCAUUUUUGUUGUAAUGACAAUAGCACGGUACAACUUGAUUGUGAUGACAAUAACUACAUUAUAAAAAGGAUGUAGGCACCCACCGGGCAAUGUGUUUAAAUGUGUCACGGUUGGGGUGCAACUGCACGUGCACAUGUGCAGGGUGACGCUUCCAGAUGUCGAGAACGGCCGGGCCGAUUGUGCUCAGAUUUGGCACAUCGCUAGAGACCGGAGACAAGAUUGAAGUGCAGCCAACACUGCAUGGUGCUUCUCACAAGAGCUGACCCAUUGCUGUUUUUCAACUCUUCUGGAAAAGAUCCCGAAAGAAGAUAACAGCUUGUUUUCUUCACCGCCACCAGUCUACCUGCUCUCUGCACACUCGGCAGAGCGCGGCAGGGCACCCCACGGAGCUGCACUAGUCACAUCCGGGCCCCACGCCGGUCGACGGCCGAUGCGAUGGAGGCACUACUCCGAGCUGGACUGGUGGCCGGCUCGGAGCUGGUGGAUGUCGACCGCGGAGCGGCGAUCUACUCCUUCCACCGGGGCCGGCAGCAGGAGCUCCAGAUGUCCUUGUGCCACCCGUCCGGCCAGGCCUCCAUCCACCUUGUAGAGGCGGAGCGGGAGACGGUGAAGCUCACGGCUCCGUUGGAACAUGGCCGCUGGGAGGCCUGCGGCGCGGACGACGGAUGCGGCAGUUGGUCAAGACACGGCAGCGUACUCGAGGUGCUUCUCGCCUGGAGGACGCAGGCGAAUCGCGUUAUCCGAGCUGUGCCUCGUCAUGGUGCGAUGAGCCUUAAUAGACUAAUGCAUAUUCUUCCUUUGGCUGUAAUUCAUUUGCUGCUGCCCGCUGGGCUAAGGAGUAACUCUGGGCGCCUACUUUGGGCAGACGCUCGUCCAGUGCCGCUCUUCGUUUGCCGCA